rfam:Schistosoma rodhaini strain Burundi genome assembly, scaffold: SROB_scaffold0012495
UGAAGAGUCCCACAAUAGGACGAAACGGCCGUC